UUAAAUGUGCCGCGCGCACCGUAAAUUUCACGCACCACACAGACAACCGCCAACUGCGCUCGCGCACGUGUUCAUUCAAUAUGGCGAGUGAUGCAUUUGCUGAAGACGCGCGUGUCUACCUGCUCGUGUAUCAUUACUCACCUGUGACACUUUCAUAUAACUGAACAUAAGAACUCUCUAGAAAUAGAAACCGCGAUUAGACUGUAUAAUUCGAGGGUCUAUAUCGUGUAGCUUAUCGAGUUAUUGCGAUAAAAACUGUACAAAACAUGAAAUUGCAUCUUGAGAUUUAUAGUUAUAUUAUCUGAUACGACGCUUUUGGUAACGUGUAAAAUGAUUUUAUAAAACAAAUAUUGAGGUGAAUGCAGUUUGACAUAACGCACACAGUCUAUUUUUGCUGCAUGUUCUUUAUGCUAGAAAUAGAUUUGUGCCCCCGCAUCUCUCUCUCUCUCUCUCUCUCUCUCUCUCUCUCUCUCUCUCUCUCUCUCUCUCUCUCUCUCUCUCUCUCUCUCUCUGCCCCUCCCAUCGCGUUCUCUUUUUCAUUCUGUAGCGUUCAGUCCAUCUUUCUUUCAGCUCUCGCGGUCGGCGCUUGUUUGCCGACGAACAAAACCGAUAAAGAGCAAAUGAAUGAAAGAGACGAGCGCGGUUCACGCGGCGCUCAGAGAAACGCAAACGCGUCACAAUGGAGGGACUAUGAUGAGCGUUUAGAUUUCUGUACACGUCUGAAGGAUGAACAGAUCUUACAGAGUAAUCAGACAGCAUCAGACUCACACAACAUCUCAACUUUCGUCAAUCACUUUUAUUUCAGGCUGAGGAUUUGAGGAUACGCAGAUCAAAAUGAAAAGCAGUUCAUGAGAACAGAAAUGAAGAAAACUAAACUCCGUCACUAUUUGUACAGGCAGACGUGAAGGAUUAUCUGGAGAGAUGUACAGAAGAGAUGAUGGCGAGCGAGGACACUCCAGCUGUAUUCUGCACUUCUCUGGCUCAGUUCACAGUAAUAUAAAGAUGAGCUGCUGUUGUGGAUCUUCAGGACACCGAUCGGGUCAACAGCACCUCUGAACAGACAGAGAGAAAUCAAUCCAGAGAGACUGAUGUAGGGUCAGUCUGUUCAUUCACCGCACUAAACGCUGCAUCACAUCACGUUCAGAUGUGACAGACAAACUCACAUUGAUCAGAGUCCUGAAGACUGACAACAGCAUCACAUCUUCUUCAGCGGUGAAAUUCAAUGCUGAUGGAAACAAACCCAACAUGAGUUUUACAGUGAACAUGUCAUUCUUAAUUCUUCUGAAUGUAUUUAUGCCUUUUAUUUAUAAACACCAUCAGCUCUCACACAGAUGAAUUUAUCAUCUAAAGAUGCACCUGCUGUUAUUUUAUUAGUAUUGGACUCGACAGCAUAACAUCAGCUGAAUGUUUUGAACAUUAUUUCUCACACAAUUAUUUAUUCAAGUGUUUAGUAUGAAUAAAACGAUCUGUAAAUAAUUACUUCAAACCUCCAAAGGUGAAAAUGCAUUUAAUGACCCUCAUGUGAUUCUUGUCUUUUAUCAUCUUUGUGUACACGAGUUACAUUAAAUCAAUAAAGUAUAUAUAAGAUCUGAUUUUAUGUGCUAUGUGUACAGUAUGUUGCUAUAGUUUGACGUCAUGCGUCGCUGCACAGAUCGGUCAGUGUGUGUAUGACAUCAUCAGUGGGCAGUGUG